rnacentral:lncRNA from 1 species
UUGUAACCAUUGAGUACCAACAGUGCCAAAAGAGAACAUGAAAAGCAUAAGGCUAUAAGGACUGAUCGUUACUUUGCUUUUAAGUAAGAAGUGAAAGCAUUCUGUUUGUAGUCUGAAGAGAUCCUUUAAUUCCUUCAGCUUUUUAGUGGCUUAUACUGUAGGUCCUUUUUAUUACAUACAGAGUAAAUAUAUCUGGUCUGAUAUUGUUGCUUGAUGGUAUUAUAACUCCUAUAAUUUACAUUAGGGAAAGAAAGUUCAACUUCAAGACCUUUGGCAAAUAUAACCACCAUUCUAGAUGUAUCUCAGCCUUAACAGAAAUCUUACCUCCAUCACUUGUACACUAAGAACACUCCUAUAAAAGGAAUCAGUCCAACAGAAGAAUUCUUAGCACAGCAUUCAGAGCAUUGGAUCAACAUAGAGCAUUUUGAUGCUAUUUUAUUUUUGUUACCCCUGACUUUUAAAAAAUGAAAUAAAAUUUUAAUAUUUCACAGAACUGGUUUUGGAAGAAAAUCUUUACCAAAAGCUAUAUAUUCCUUCUAAGAUUUAGUAGCUUAAUGAAGCUUUUAUGAUGUGACACCAAAGAAUGUUGCUUGUCUGAUAAACAUAAGUAGCAUUCUAGGGUCUCAUAAAACAUACAAGAAGCAAAAAAAAAAAAAAAUUUUAAUAAAUUUCAGUAAGUUAAGAGUGCCUACAUUUAUUAUAAGGCAGUGUGUGCUUGUCUCUCAGACACGCAUGUUCACUUACAUGUUUUAAAGUCGGCGUGGCAAUAGAGUGCAGUGAUAGCUCAGCAAUCAGGGGCAUUUGUUGGACUUGCAGAGAACCUGGGUUCAAUUCCCAGCACCUAAAGGUGGCUCACUGUUGUGGGAAAUAUUAAAAAAUCGGCACUGUGCCGGGCGUGAUGACACACGCCUUUGAUCCAGUACUCGGGAGGCAGAGGCAGGCGGAUUUCUGAGUUCGAGGCCAGCCUGGUCUACAGAGAGAGCUCCAGGACAGCCAGGGCUACACAGAGAAACCCUGUCUCAAAAAACCAAAAACAACAACAAAAAAAUAAGCACCAACUUCUCGUGCUACAUCCAGGUAUUGUCUGCCCAGGUGGGCUCACCGCCUCUGUCUCUAGACUAGCUCCUGAUGGCAGUCUUCCCAGCUCUGCUCACCUGCCUCAGAGCCACUCAUACCUUCUCAGCCAUUCACCCCCUGUGGUCGGCAGUCACAAAUCCCCUUAACCUAGUAAAUCAAAACUCUAGAAGCUUAUAAUUAAUCAGUCAGAUUUAUAUAUCAAUAAAUUAUCAAUUCACAAGAUGCCCAAACAAUAAUUUCAGAGCCAAUUGAUAAUGAUAUAAAUUUCCCACCUAGAUAAGACAGAUUGUCCUGUAAUUAUCCAUCCUUAUAAGAUACUCAUAGCUAUCUGUGGCUAUUUAAAGCCACUCAGAAUCUGGAUCGUCCUGUUCUCCAUCUUUCUUCCUUCUCCCUAUCCUUCUCCCUGAAACUCUUUGCUCUGCCUCCCUUUUCUUGGUCCAAUCACAGACUUCUUGUAUUAAUAUUUAAAGUGAUUGAACAGGAAAAAUUCUGCUACAGCUCAUGACCAUUGUAAUUCUGGUUCCAGGGGAUCCAAUGCCUUCUUCUGACUUCUGAAGGUACCAGGCAUACAUAUAGUACACACAUGUACAUGCAGACAAAACACUGGUACACAUAGAGUAAACAUUUAAAAAAUUAAGCAUGCUAAGAAAAAUACACAAUGAAGUGGGUUUUUUUUAAAUGUAUGAAUGAAACGGCCACAGACUUUUGUCAUUUUGUUCUUUCUGAAUACAAAAUGACAAUGAUGCUGCCAUGAAAGUUACCAUGAGCAGAUAAGACACAGAAUAGGCUAUACCCAGCAAAAGGUACUACACACUAGAAUUAAAGCUACCUCAGUGAGACAGAAGAAAGGGCUAGUGAGAGGAGAAGGACUCAAGGUAAGGCUGUUAGGUGAACUGGGGAGUUUAGAAUGGGGUCUCUUUUCUCUUUAGGUUUUAUCCUUAAAAUAGACUGCAGUAGUUCUUUGAUAGAGAACAGUCAGGGCAGAAAGCACAGCCUAAGAAUGCUUAGGUUUUUAUUUUUUUAGAAUUCAUCUUUAGUUUUUACAAAAUCUUAAAACUUUUUAUUAGUAUUUUACUUGUUUUUAACAUUUCUUUAUCCUUGAUAUAGUUUUAAAACUCAAUUAAUUAUAAAUUAAAACUUCAGUUUUUUAAAAAAAUAUUUUUAAAAUAUCAAUUAAAGUUGGCUUUCCAUUUGUAAGCUUGAAUUCUUGUUGCCCAGGUCUUCUAGGGAAGGAAGG